GACGAACGCUGGCGGCGUGCCUAACACAUGCAAGUCAACUUGACUGAAGGAGCAAUCUGACAGUAGAGUGGCGCAAGGGUGCGUAACGCGUAAGUAACUUGCCCCAAGGUAAGGAAUAACGUCGAGAAAUCGGCGCUAAUACCUCAUAAUGCAGCGGAUCCGCAUGGAUAUGUUGUUAAAGGUUUACCGCCUUGGGAUAGGCUUGCGUCUGAUUAGCUAGUUGGUGUGGUAACGGCACACCAAGGCUACGAUCAGUAACUGGUCUGAGAGGAUGAUCAGUCACACUGGAACUGAGACACGGUCCGGACUCCUACGGGAGGCAGCAGUGAGGAAUAUUGGGCAAUGCUCGAAAGAGUGACCCAGCAACGCCGCGUGGAGGAUGAAGGUAUUCUAUAUCGUAAACUCCUGUGAGAGCAGACGAAAGACAGAUUAUAAUCUGGAUGACUGUAUGCUCAGAGGAAGCCCCGGCUAACUACGU
rnacentral:rRNA from 1 species